UGAUGAAAUUGAGAAGGUUGCAAAGCAGUUCGGUGCUCAAGUUCAUCGCAGAAGCCCUGAAGUUUCUCAAGACUCCUCAACGUCUCUAGAAGCUAUCAGAGAGUUUCUUAAUCAGCAUCCUGAGGUUGAUAUUGUAGGAAAUAUUCAAGCAACAUCUCCCUGUUUACAUCCUAGUGAUCUUAUAAAAGUGGCAGAUCUGCUCCAGAAGGAGGGAUUUGAUUCUGUCUUCUCUGUUGUGAGACGGCACCAAUUUAGAUGGAGUGAGGUAAAAAAAGGAG
rnacentral:lncRNA from 1 species